GAUGAACGCUGGCGGCGUGCCUAAUACAUGCAAGUCGAACGAAACUUCUUUAUCACCGAGUGCUUGCACUCACCGAUAAAGAGUUGAGUGGCGAACGGGUGAGUAACACGUGGGCAACCUGCCCAAAAGAGGGGGAUAACACUUGGAAACAGGUGCUAAUACCGCAUAACCAUAGUUACCGCAUGGUAACUAUGUAAAAGGUGGCUAUACUACCGCUUUUGGAUGGGCCCGCGGCGCAUUAGCUAGUUGGUAGGGUAAAGGCUUACCAAGGCAAUGAUGCGUAGCCGAAUUGAGAGGGUGAUCGGCCACAUUGGGACUGAGACGCGGCCCAAACUCCGACGGGAGGCAGCAGUAGGGAAUCUUCCACAAUGGGCGAAAGCCUGAUGGAGCAACGCCGCGUGGGUGAAGAAGGUCUUCGGAUCGUAAAACCCUGUUGUUAGAGAAGAAGGUGCGUGAGAGUAACUGUUCACGUUUCGACGGUAUCUAACCAGAAAGCCACUGCUAACUACGUG
rnacentral:rRNA from 1 species